rnacentral:tRNA from 1 species
GUGGUCUAGUGGUUGAGACUCUGCAUUCCCAAUGCAGGGGGGCACAGAUACAGGUUCAAUUCCUGGUC